GCUGGCACACCAGCACCAAAAGACGAUCAGCAUUGCCAUCUCUGUCGUCAACCCAGAUCUGGUUGGGAUUCUCUACCAGAGCCCGCAACGAAGACAUCUCGGCCACGUUCGAAUGAUUGUUCCAAAUAUCGGAAUUCAUUUUGAAGGAGUUGUGGGCAUAUUGCUGGGGUGCUUUGGGGAGGAGAUGAGAGAUGGGGAAGUAAUGCACACCAGGUGUUUGAGGUAUGAACAAGGUUAUGGAGGCCAAUAAUUUUAUGGAACAUCAAUCUCGUAGAAAAUUGGAUUUUUGACACCACAGAGACACAUCAGUCAACUUCAUCAUUUCAAAGAUUUGGAGCAUAGAAAUUCACAGAAGCAUGAAGAAGACUUGAGGUUGCUGGUUGCAGUUGAUGUUGC